AUUGAACGCUGGCGGCAUGCCUUACACAUGCAAGUCGAACGGCGGCACGGGUGCUUGCACCUGGUGGCGAGUGGCGAACGGGUGAGUAAUACAUCGGAACGUACCUUAUCGUGGGGGAUAACGCAGCGAAAGUUGCGCUAAUACCGCAUACGCCCUGAGGGGGAAAGCGGGGGACCGUAAGGCCUCGCGCGAUUAGAGCGGCCGAUGUCUGAUUAGCUUGUUGGUGAGGUAAAAGCUCACCAAGGCGAUGAUCAGUAGCUGGUCUGAGAGGACGAUCAGCCACACUGGGACUGAGACACGGCCCAGACUCCUACGGGAGGCAGCAGUGGGGAAUUUUGGACAAUGGGGGCAACCCUGAUCCAGCAAUGCCGCGUGAGUGAAGAAGGCCUUCGAGUUGUAAAGCUCUUUUGUCAGGGAAGAAACAGCAGCUCUAACACAGUCUGCGAAUGACGGUACCUGAAGAAUAAGCACCGGCUAACUACGUGCCAGCAGCCGCCGUAA
rnacentral:rRNA from 1 species